GGAAGGAGAGGGGGAUGCUGCAUCGGCGCUUACUACCAAUGACAUAGCGCUGCUGCGGCUCCCUGCUCCCCCUCCCUCCUCCUCCUUCUCACCUCACUGCCUGCACCGAGGGAGCUGCACGAGGAGCCCGACUGCCAGCAGGGUGAUGUUCCCUACAAGCAUGGAAGAAUGGCAAGCUAUUGCAGAGGACUUUGACAGGCGAUGGAAUUUCCCUAAACUGUGGUGGUGCGAUAGACGGAAAACAUGUGCGCAUCACCAAACCCACCAACAGCGGGUCAAACUACUUCAAUUAUAAAAGCUACUUUAGCAUUGUUCUCAUAGCGGUGGUCAAUGCAAACUAUGAAUUUAUUUUCCUGGAUGUUGGGAAAAAUGGUCGUUGCUCAGAUAGUGGAUCCUUGAAAAAUACACGUUUCUAUGAUAGGCUCACCACCAACUCCAUUCAUCUGCCACCUGUUGAGCAAACAAAGAAUGGCCUGGGAUUUGUGUUCGUGGCAGAUGAGGCCUUCGCACUGCACGAAAAUAUAAUGAAGCCCUACCUGCAAAGAAUCCUGAACCACGAUAGGCGUAUCUUCAACUACCACCUUUCUAGGGCCCGUCGGGUUGUUGAGAAUGCAUUUGGCAUUCUCAGCAACCGGUUGAGGUUCUUCCACCGACCCAUCAACAUGAGGCAGGACAAAAUUGACUGUGUAGUAACAGCAUGCUGUAUACUGCACAACAUGCUCUGAUGCAAGGCCACGAGGCAAAUGCCUUUGCUCCCAGCAGGACCGGAAGACCCCAACCAGCCACUGGUGAAAGUGCCAAUUUCCUCGGUGGGACCACAUGCAGUAACCUUACGCGGCACUGCAAGGGCAAAAGAGGUCCGUGAAAAAUAUAAUGCCUUUUUCAAUGGGGAAGGAGCUGUGGCAUGGCAGGAGGAAUACAUUAGGUAAAAACAAUUUAAAAGCAACUUACCCCUUCGGCCUCCACCACAUCCAGACUUCCCUCCUCGGACUCUGGUCCUCAUUCCAAGUUGAUCGCUCGCUAGCUACUUUUAGCCGCCGAGCAAACGCAUAGUCGCCGCCCACAGGUGAGUGUAUUUUAGCAUAGCAGGAGUGCGAACGCCUGUGCAGCAGAGCGGCUGCAAACACAUUUUGUGCAGAACAAGACCAGCCCUGUAGUUACUUAUUCUGUGCAAUGAUUUCUGCGACGAAUGACAUGGUAAUGAUGUCAGAUACCCGCCCAGCAAAUUUUUCCAAUCACUCCCAGAAAAUGGUCAAUUUACAUCCAGAAACUCCCACUUCCUGUCAAUCUCUCUGCGUCUGCCAGUGCGACUGAAAGCGUUGCUAGAACCUGUGUAAAACCACGAUGCUCAUUGUACCCGUACGUCAUGUGCGCGCAUUGCGGGGCAUACGCAUGCACAGUUUUGCCGUUUUUUUAAAUGAUCGCUACACAGCGAACAAUGGCAGCUAGCGAUCAACUCGGAAUGAGGUCCUCUGCCAUCACCACUAGGAACACCUUAGUUGACUGUUUCUCCAGGAGGAAGUUUAAUUCUUGGUAGUACCAUAGCUGUGGCACAUACACCUUGUCUGCACCAGCCCCUGACCUCUUGGAAUCCUCCACCUUGCGGUUCUCUUUUACAAUUUUUGGCAAUUUUCUUCCGGACCCAGGCGACCAAGGCCGCAAAGAAGGUGGGCUUGGAAUACUCCACCAGGCAGUUAUAAGCAGCCUCCCUCUUCUUUUUGUUGCUGUAGUCUGGUGAGGACGUCAGCCACAGAUACUCCUCCUCACGGUACAGGCUGAUAAAGCCCAAUAGGAAAUCGCAGCUCUCAUAGAACAUCUGCAGAAUGCAAAAAAAGGAAAAUGAAAAAACAUGAAAAAAGUUCCAUUAUUCUGGUUAAAUAACGUUUGUUUUCUAGUAUUAUUCUGUUUAAAUAAAGUUUGUUUUCUAGUAUUAUUCUGGUUAAAAUAGGAUUUUAAUUACCUACCGGUAAAUCUUUUUCUCAUAGUCCAUAGAGGAUACUAGGGUCCACAUUAGUACUAUGGGGUAUAGACAGGUCCACUAGGAGUCAUGGGCACUUUAAGAAAUUAAUAGUGUGGGCUGGCUCCUCCUUCUAUGCCCCUCCUACCAGACUCAGUCUAGAAACUGUGCCCGAGGAGACGGACAUACUUCGAGAGAAAGAUUUAACUGAAUAGUGGUGAGAUUCGAACCAGCACACACAAACAAGAGGAAAGCCAUGCUAACCCAACUUGAAUCGGAACAGCAACGGCUGAACCAACAACAAUACUUAACCAAAUAACAGUGCAGAAAAAAAACGAAGCACCGGGCGGGCACCCAGUAUCCUCUACGGACUACGAGAAAAGGAUUUACCAGUAGUUAAUUACAAUCCUAUUUUCUCUUACAUCCUAGAGGAUACUGGGGUCCACAUUAGUACCAUGGGGAUAUACCAAAGCUCCCAAACCGGGUGGGAGAGUGCUGACGUUCCUGCAGAACAGAUUUACCAAACUGAAGGUCCUCAGCAGCCAAAGUAUCGAACUUGUAGAACUUAGCAAACAUGUUCGAACCAGACUAAGUAGCUGCUCGGCAGAGCUGUAAAGCCAAGACACCCCAGGCAGCCACCCAGGAAGAACCCACCGACCUAGUAGAGUGGGCCUGUACCGAUAUUGGAACCGGUAAACCUGCCAUAGAAUAGGCAUGCUGGAUAGUAAACCUAAUCCAGCGAGAAAUAGACUGCUUUGAAGCAGGACACUCAAUCUUAUUGGGAUUCUAGAGCAAAAACAGUGAGUCAGACUUACUGUAACAAGCCGUCCGUUGUACAUAAAUUUUCAAAGCCCUCACAACAUCCAAGGACUUUGAAGAAGCAGAGGUGUCAGUAAGCACCAGGACCACAAUAGGUUGGUUGAUAUAAAAAGCAGACACCACCUUCGGAAGAAACUGCUGACGAGUUCUGAGUUCAGCACGAUCCUCAUGAAAAAUCAAGUAGGGGCUCUUGUGAGACAAUGCCCCCAGUUCCGACACUUACGUGGCUGAGGCCAGGGCCAACUGUCUUCCAUGUAAGAAACUUAACGCCCUCUGCCUGUAAGAGCUCAAACCAAUCCGCCUGGACAAAGUGCAACACAACAUUGAGAUCCCAAGGGGCUGUAGGAGGCACAAAGGGCAGUUGAAUAUGUAGAACACCUUUCAAAAAGGUCUGAACCUCCGGAAUAGAUGACAGUUGUUUCUGGAAGAAAAUGGACAAGGCCGAAAUCUGAACUUUUAAGGAGCUCAGACGUAGGUCUACAUCCACUCCAGCCUGCAGAAAAAGAAGAAAAUGCCCCAGCUUAAAUUCUGCCGCAGGAAUUUUUCUGGUCUCAGACCAAGAGACGUACUUCUUCAAGAUACAGUGGUAAUGCUUAGACAUUACCCCCUUUCUGGCUUGGAUCAAAGUACCACCUCAGCAUAAUAAAUAUACCAUAUCAUUCCUGUAUAUUGUUAGAAUAGAAAUAUGAUUCCUGCUAUAUUUAGUAUAGAGCUCAAAAAGAAGGAGGGGGCCCAGGAACAUGUAUGCAUUUAUAUUAUUAUCGGGUGAGAGAUAGCAAUAUCUGUAUCAAAAUAUAUGCGACACGACUAUUGAUGAACUGCGAUAAUAAACAAGGUGGCAAAGACAUAGGAAAUCUUAAAUAA